GGUCAAGCUACAAAGAGCGCAGGGAGGAUGCCUUGGCACCAGGAGCCGAAGAAGGACGCAGCUAACUGCGAAAAGCCUCGGGGAGUCGUAAGCAGACAUUGAUCCGGGGAUAUCCGAAUGGGGCAACCCGGCUGGGUUCAUACCCAGUCACCGUAUACUGAAUCCAUAGGUAUACGGAGGGAACCGCCUGAACUGAAACAUCUAAGUAGGGCGAGGAAGAGAAAUCAACCGAGAUUCCGCAAGUAGUGGCGAGCGAACGCGGAAGAGGCCAAACCAGAGGUAGCAAUACUUCUGGGGUUUGGACGGCAACAAGUAUGGUGGAGUCUAGUGGAAUGGUCUGGGAAGGCCAACCAGAGAGGGUGAGAGUCCCGUAGACGAAAGACGAAAUCAGCUAGCCGUAUCCAGAGUACCGCCGGACACGUGAAACCCGGUGGGAAGACGGGGGGACCACCCUCCAAGCCUAAAUACUACCUGGUGACCGAUAGUGUAUAGUACUGUGAAGGAAAGGUGAAAAGCACCCCGGGAGGGGAGUGAAAUAGAACCUGAAACCCUGUGCUUACAAGCACUGAGAGCCCGUCAAUGGGUGAUCAGGUACCUUUUGUAGAAUGGUCCGGCGAGUGAGUGUAACUAGCAAGGUUAAGGACUUCAGGUCUGGAGCCGCAGCGAGAGCGAGUCUGAAUAGGGCGCAUGAAGUUAGUUGCAUUCGACCCGAAACCGGGUGACCUACGCAUGAUCAGGGUGAAGUGGAGGUAAAACUCCAUGGAGGCCCGAACGCACGUCCGUUGAAAAGGCCGGCGAUGAAUUGUGUGUAGCGGAGAAAUUCCAAUCGAACCCGGAGAUAGCUGGUUCUCCUCGAAAUAGCUUUAGGGCUAGCCUCAUAUUGAGAUUACUGGAGGUAAAGCACUGAAUGGGCUAGGGGCCGAGAGGUUACUGAACCCUAUCAAACUAAGAAUGCCAGAUAAUCAUAUAUGGGAGUCAGACAGUGUGAGAUAAGUUUCAUUGUCAAAAGGGAAAGAGCCCAGACCCACAGCUAAGGUCCCAAAAUUGGUUUAAGUGGAAAAGGAUGUGGGGUUGCGUAGACAACUAGGAUGUUGGCUUAGAAGCAGCCACUCAUUAAAAGAGUGCGUAAUAGCUCACUAGUCGAGUGACCCUGCGCCGAAAAUUUAACGGGGCUAAAAUCAAUACCGAAGCUUGGGAUUGAUACGUAAGUAUCAGUGGUAGAGGAGCGUUGUGUAAGGGGUGAAGUCAGAGCGGAAGCGCUGGUGGACUUUACACAAGAGAGAAUGCCGGAAUGAGUAGCGAGAAAUAUGUGAGAAUCAUAUUGGCCGAAAGCCUAAGGUUUCUGGAGGAAGGUUCGUCCGCUCCAGGUUAGCCGGGAGCUAAGGUGAGGCCGAAAGGCGUAGCCGAUGCACAUACGGUGGAUAUUCCGUAGCCGCCAAAAGAUUUAAGUAUGGGGACACUCUUGAAGUUCAUGACCCGGGCGAUGGUUGCCCCGGGCGUAAGGGACCGAAAUACAGUAGGGAAGCAUGGAUGGAUGGAGGCGAGAAAAGCCAUAUGGAUAUCUUAGGCGCCCGUACCGCAAACCGACACAGGUAGGCAGGAAGAGGAUUCUAAGGCCAACGGGAGAAAGGUUGUUAAGGAACUCGGCAAAUUGACCCCGUAACUUAGGGAUAAGGGGUGCCCGUGUAACAGCGGGCCGCAGAGAAUAGGCCCAGGCGACUGUUUAGCAAAAACACAGGUCUCUGCCAAAUCGAAAGAUGAAGUAUAGGGGCUGACACCUGCCCGGUGCUGGAAGGUUAAGAGGAGGAGUGCAAGCUCUGAAUUGAAGCCCCAGUAAACGGCGGCCGUAACUAUAACGGUCCUAAGGUAGCGAAAUUCCUUGUCGGGUAAGUUCCGACCCGCACGAAUGGUGUAACGAUCUGGGCGCUGUCUCAACAACCUGCCCGGCGAAAUUGUAGUACCGGUGAAGAUGCCGGUUACCUGCGACAAGACGGGAAGACCCCAUGGAGCUUCACUGUAGCCUGAUAUUGGGUUUCGGUAUUUUAUGUACAGGAUAGGCGGGAGGCUUGGAAACCAGGGCGCCAGCUCUGGCGGAGCCAACCUUGGGAUACCGCUCUUAAAGUGCUGGAAUUCUAACCUGCGGCCGUGAAUCCGGCCGGGGGACAUUGUCAGGUGGGCAGUUUGACUGGGGCGGUCGCCUCCAAAAGAGUAACGGAGGCGCUCAAAGGUUCGCUCAGCACGGAUGGAAACCGUGCCCCUGAGUGUAAACGCAUAAGCGAGCCUAACUGCGAGGCUGACGGGCCGAGCAGUAACGAAAGUUGGAGUUAGUGAUCCGGCGGUAUGUGAGUGGAAAUGCCGUCGCUCAACGGAUAAAAGCUACCCUGGGGAUAACAGGCUGAUCUCCCCCAAGAGUCCACAUCGACGGGGAGGUUUGGCACCUCGAUGUCGGCUCAUCACAUCCUGGGGCUGAAUUCGGUCCCAAGGGUUCGGCUGUUCGCCGAUUAAAGUGGUACGCGAGCUGGGUUCAGAACGUCGUGAGACAGUUCGGUCCCUAUCUGUCGUGGGCGCAGGAUAUUUGAAGAGCUCUGUCCUUAGUACGAGAGGACCGGGAUGGACGAACCUCUGGUGCACCAGUUGUCACGCCAGUGGCACAGCUGGGCAGCUAUGUUCGGAUCGGAUAAACGCUGAAAGCAUCUAAGCGUGAAGCCGGCUCUAAGAUAAGAUAUCCCACAGCAUAAGCUGGUAAGGACCCUUGAAGACUACAAGGUUGAUAGGCUGCAUGUGUAAGCGUGGUAACACGUUCAGCUUGGCAGUACUAAUCGUCCGAGGGCUUGACCUA
rfam:Eubacteriaceae bacterium CHKCI005 isolate CHKC5 genome assembly, contig: {contig15}